rnacentral:rRNA from 1 species
AUGGCGGCGGCGGUCGACGGCACCCGCAAGCACGGGGCGGCGGCCUUCCUGGACGACCCCUUUGAGGUGCUGCAGGCGAAGCGGGGCCGGUGCUCGCCGUCCGCCGCCACGGCCGCGGUCGCCGACCUCGGCAUCAACAUGGAGUUCGACCCCGUCGAGGCGCUCCAGUCCGUAUUCCCCGGCGCCGAUCCGCAGUUCAGCUGUGCUUUUCUACAGUUUGGCGGUUCACAUGAGAUAUUUAGAUCAAGCAAGUACUGUUAA